rnacentral:lncRNA from 1 species
AUGCCAUCCAUUUUCAGGGGUACUCCCCCUGGACCCCAAGGCCCAGCUCUUCAGCCAGAGAUGGGGCGGGGGGAUGGUGAGGCCGGGACAGUGCGAACCGCAGGUCGGGGAUCAAGGGGUGCAGGGCAUGUGGGGUGUGGCAAGUGUGGACAGGCGUCCGGCCCCAGGGGCCACACGGCUCUCACGUCGCCCGGCCCCUGGGCGCUCCGCACCGUCCUGCGCAGUGUGGAGAGGAGGGGGCCGCGGGCGGGGGUUGGCCGGGCCAGGGUGGGCCCUGGCCUGCCUCCUCACCCAGGCCCCAGCCCAGAGAAACGGAAGAUUCACGAAAGCCGCUGCCAGGAGCUGCUCUCUGCCCCGCUCGCCGGGGGAGCUGCUGGAGCCAGCGAGGCGACACUCCCUUUGCCACCGAAACGCGGCCCCUGGGGAGGGCGGCCCUGCCACGGCACCACGCAGGCUGCCCGUUCUGCGCCAGGCGGGGCGCUCCGGGGCCAGCUGCCGGCCUGGGGGCCGCGGGGCCCUCUCCCUGACGGCGCGCCCAGGGCCGCAGCCCUGCCCGCACCCCGAUACCCUCGAAGGGAAGGUGAGGAGCGGUCCACGCCCCGGAGGUGGCCCGGGGAAGCCGACCAGAACAGACUAACCGGACCCGUGUCACGAGCUCAGCCGCAGAGGCACCAUUGCCACGUUCCUGAUUUUUCCUGGAGGAGCGGCCCUGGUCCCGGCUGUCACGGUACCGGGGCUCCAGGGACGCUGCACAGAUCAGGAGACAAAUGUGAAGAACCUCAGCGUCCUCCCCGCAGCUCGGGCUGCCCUGCAUACCCCCCGGGGCCCCCGCCUGAAACGCCGCCUGUGGACGAGGUCCUCCGCCCCGAGUGGGCCCCGGCUGCCCUCAGCUCCCGGCCACGCGGCCCAUGGCUGGCCUGGGGAGCGGGAGAGGCCCCGUGGAGACACCAGCAGGGGGCGGGGGUUGGGGACCGGCAAGGGGGGCAGGCCCCGCCAUGGGGGGGGCCAGGCCAGGGUCUCGGUGACAAGGAGGCCUCAGGCAACUCCUGCCCUCCGGGGCCUGCAGGACAGUCCACGCCCACCCUGGCGCAGUGA